rnacentral:rRNA from 1 species
UACGUAGGGUGCAAGCGUUAAUCGGAAUUACUGGGCGUAAAGCGUGCGCAGGCGGUUGUGCAAGACCGAUGUGAAAUCCCCGGGCUUAACCUGGGAAUGGCAUUGGUGACUGUACGGCUAGAGUGUGUCAGAGGGGGGUAGAAUUCCACGUGUAGCAGUGAAAUGCGUAGAGAUGUGGAGGAAUACCGAUGGCGAAGGCAGCCCCUGGGAUGACACUGACGCUCAUGCACGAAAGCGUGGGGAGCAAACAGG